GCAAGGGACAUCGCCAUGGCGGCAGCGCCGUUCUUGAAGCACUGGCGCACCACUUUCGAGCGGGUGGAGAAGUUCGUGUCCCCGAUCUACUUCACCGACUGUAACCUUCGCGGCAGGCUCUUCGGGGACAGCUGCCCGGUGACACUCUCCAGCUUCCUGACGCCAGAGAGGCUUCCCUAUGAGAAGGCGGUGCAGCAGAACUUCAGCCCUGCACAGGUCGGCGACAGCUUCGGACCCACAUGGUGGACCUGCUGGUUUCGAGUAGAACUGGUCAUCCCUGACGUUUGGGUGGGCCAGGAAGUUCAUCUUUGCUGGGAAAGCGAUGGAGAAAGCCUUGUCUGGCGUGAUGGGGAACCUGUCCAGGGUUUGACCAAAGAGGGUGAAAAGACCAGUUAUAUCUUGAGCGAGAGGCUACGAGCAGCAGACCCUCGGAGCUUGACUCUCUAUGUGGAAGUAGCCUGUAAUGGGCUUCUGGGGGCCGGGAAGGGAAGCAUGAUCGCAGCCCCUGACCCUGAGAGGAUGUUCCAGCUGAGCCAGGCUAAGCUGGCUGUGUUCCACCGAGACGUCCACGAUCUCCUGGUGGACCUGGAGCUGUUGCUGGGUGUGGCCAAGGGCCUCGGGGAGGACAACCAGCGCAGCUUCCAGGCCCUGUACACGGCCAACCAGAUGGUGAACAUAUGUGACCCGGCUCAGCCCGAGACUUACCCAGCAGCCAAAGCCCUGGCCUCCAAGUUCUUUGGCCAACAUGGAGGUGAAAGCCAGCAUACCAUCCAUGCCAUGGGGCACUGUCACAUCGAUACAGCCUGGCUUUGGCCCUACAAAGAGACAGUGAGGAAGUGUGCCCGGAGCUGGUCCACAGCUGUGAAGCUCAUGGAACAGAACACUGACUUCAUCUUUGCCUGCUCUCAGGCACAACAGCUCGAGUGGGUAAAGAACCAGUACCCCGGUCUGCACGCCCGGCUCCAGGAGUUUGCCUGCCGAGGACAGUUUGUGCCUGUGGGUGGCACCUGGGUAGAAAUGGAUGGGAACCUUCCCAGUGGAGAGGCCAUGGUGAGGCAGUUCCUACAGGGCCAGAAUUUCUUUCUGCAAGAGUUUGGGAAGAUGUGCUCUGAGUUCUGGCUGCCAGAUACCUUUGGCUACUCAGCACAGCUCCCCCAGAUCAUGCAAGGCUGUGGCAUCAAACGCUUCCUGACGCAGAAGCUGAGCUGGAACUUGGUCAACUCCUUCCCGCACCAUACCUUUCUCUGGGAGGGGCUGGAUGGCUCCCGAGUGCUGGUACACUUCCCACCUGGAGACUCCUACGGAAUGCAGGGCAGUGUGGAGGAGGUGUUGAAGACUGUGACCAACAACCGGGACAAGGGGCGGACCAACCAUAGUGGCUUCCUCUUCGGCUUCGGGGACGGGGGUGGUGGCCCCACACAGACCAUGCUGGACCGACUGAAGCGGCUGGGCAACACUGAUGGGCUGCCCAGGGUGCAGCUGUCUUCUCCUGGACAGCUCUUCACGGCACUGGAGAGAGACUCGGGGCAGCUGUGCACGUGGGUUGGGGAACUCUUCCUGGAACUGCACAAUGGCACCUAUACUACCCACGCCCAGCUCAAGAAGGGGAACCGAGAAUGCGAGCAGAUUCUUCAUGACGUGGAGCUGCUCUGCAGCCUGGCCCUAGCCCGAAGUGCCCAGUUCCUGUACCCAGCAGCCCAGCUGCAGCACCUCUGGAGGCUCCUGCUCCUCAACCAGUUCCACGAUGUGGUGACCGGAAGCUGCAUUCAGCUGGUGGCAGAAGAUGCCUUGAACUACUAUGAAGACAUCCGUUCUCACGGCAAUACACUGCUCAGUGCGGCAACCGCGGCCUUGUGUGCUGGGGAGCCAGGUCCGGAGGGCCUCCUCAUUAUCAACACGCUGCCCUGGAAGCGCACUGAAGUGCUGGCGCUGCCCAAGCCUUGUGGGGCUCACAGCCUAGCCCAGGUGACAGUGCCCAGUAUUGGCUAUGCUCCUGCUCCCACCCCUACUUCCCUGCAGCCCCUCCUACCCCAGCAGCCCGUGUUUGUGAUGCAGGAGACUGACGGUUCUGUGACUCUGGACAAUGGCAUCAUCCGGGUGAGACUGGAUCCAACUGGCUGUGUCACUUCCUUGGUCCUGGUGGCUUCUGGCAGGGAAGCCAUUGCUGAGGGUGCCCUGGGGAACCAGUUUGUGCUGUUUGAUGAUGUGCCAUUGUACUGGGACGCAUGGGAUGUCAUGGACUACCAUCUAGAGACACGGAAGCCUGUGCUAGGCCAGGCAGGGACCCUGGCAGUGGGCACUGAAGGUGGCCUUCGGGGCAGUGCCUGGUUCCUGCUUCAGAUCAGCCCCAACAGCCGGCUCAGUCAGGAGGUUGUGCUGGAUGUCGGUUGCCCCUAUGUCCGCUUCCACACUGAGGUGCACUGGCACGAGGCCCACAAGUUCCUCAAGGUGGAGUUCCCUGCUCGAAUACGGAGCCCCCAGGCUACCUAUGAGAUCCAGUUUGGGCACCUUCAGAGGCCGACACACAACAACACCUCUUGGGACUGGGCUCGCUAUGAGGUGUGGGCUCACCGCUGGAUAGAUCUGUCCGAAUGUGACUUCGGGCUGGCCCUGCUCAACAACUGCAAGUAUGGAGCGUCAGUCCGAGGCAAUGUCCUCAGCCUCUCACUGUUGCGUGCACCUAAGGCUCCGGAUGCUACUGCUGACAUGGGGCGCCAUGAAUUCACUUAUGCUUUGAUGCCACACAAGGGCUCCUUCCAAGAAGCUGGCGUUAUUCAGGCCGCCUACAACCUCAACUUCCCCCUGUUGGCACUGCCAGCUCCAGGCCCGGCCCCUGACACCACCUGGAGUGCGUUUUCCGUAUCUUCGCCAGCAGUCGUGCUGGAGACCAUCAAGCAGGCUGAGAUGAGCCAUCAGCACCGCACACUGGUUCUAAGGAUGUAUGAGGCUUAUGGCAGCCAUGUGGACUGCUGGCUACACACAUCAGUGCCUGUUCAGGAGGCCACCCUUUGUGACCUCCUGGAGCAGCGAGACCCCACUGGUCACCUGUCCUUUCAGGACAACCGCCUGAAGCUCACCUUUUCUCCCUUUCAAGUGAGGUCCCUACUGCUUGUGCUUCAGCCUCCUCCAAACUGAGUCUGGACUGUGGGAAGCUUUGGGAGCUCCUCACUUCCCUUCCCAGCCCGAAGCAUCCUGUGCAAUAAAUGCUUAGCAGAGGAAUUAGAGGCGUGGAGCCCGCCACCUCCUGACUUCCAUAUCUUCUCACCCCUCCACCCUCAACUGGGAGGGAAGCUGUGGACAAGCGCUAAGCUGAGAGAACAGACAACCACAAGCCCUGAUGAAUCCUGGACGGAAAGAGCCAUGGCUCCUUGGACUGCCUGGGCCCAGGUCUGCAGAGGGGCUGGCUCUGCACAGGCAGAAUGUCUGUCCUCUGACAGUCAGGGCCUUGAGUGUA